AUAACUGCUGUAUUUAAGAACAUACUGCAAAUGCAUUAUAUUUGCUAUUGACAUUCAAUAAGUAGCUUUCUGUUGGCUAGGCAGGAUGGUCACAGUUAUUGAUGCAUUUGCCUAUGUCUCCUUGUAUUCAAGUGCUGUAAUGUAGGCUGUUAGAGAUUUUAAGUUCAAACCCUUUAAGAAAAAAAAAAAAAAGGGAGAAAUCUUUAUGGGUAUCAUUAACUUAUCCCAGCUAGUUUGGGAUUAAUGGGUAGUUGAAUUUAUGAUGUCUUUGGCCAAGGCAUAUGAUUUUACAUGUGCAAAUACA
rnacentral:misc_RNA from 1 species